CCCAUUCAAAGCAUAGCACCCUUCGGCUUCAGAGAAGCUCCAGCCCUGUUGUCACCAAGCAGGUUCCCCCUAGGCAGAGCGCCAAGAAGCAGCCCAGGCGAUCCCAAGGCGCACAAGUGCUCUCACCAGGCUGCGCGCUGGCGGGUCGGUGCACAGGGACGGGGUCGCCGCCCACGCGCGCUUGGUUCAGGGAGCCCAGGCUGUCCCUACCCGCGGCUACAAAAGCUCGCCGAGUCUUCCUGUCCACCCAAUCGCCCCACAUGUCAGCGGUUGGUCGCCUCGCGGUGCAGUGCUGGGCACGCGAGCCCCUCCCGCAGUCAUUCUCAGCACAAGCACCAGCCUGGAGCCCCGCAGCGACAGAGCUGAGAGCCCCCAAGCCGCAGAGGUCGUGCGGAGCAGAAGAGGAGACCAAUGGGGAGCAUUGGAAUGAUUUGGUUGCAAGCAUACUACACUACUUGUAAACUGCAGACACAGGCUUAAAAAAAGUGAAAAACUAACCAUGCAAUAAAGAAUGGAAUGAACCAUGAAGCUGUUUCUGUGGCCAGUCAUGUUUUUGAAGCAUAUCCCAUGCUAAUUUCUAGAACAGAAGAAACACACGUGUUCUUGUGUGUAAACCCAGUCCAUGGAAGAGACCGUCUGCUUGUCCCUCCUGAUCUCUGGGCCCAGACAACCAGUAGUCACCAUUCCAAGUGAGGGGUGGCUGCAACUCUACAGCCCCGUUCGUCUCUCCUCACUGUCAAAGCUGCUGAGACCCCAGACUCGACACUUGAAAGAAACCCAUGUCUGUGAAGCACUUGUGGACCAUUCAAGAUUGUGGAAGAAUCACUCAAGAGAAGGAGAUAGCAAUAUUUGCAGAUAUGCAAACUGGCCCCUUGCAUGCACAUCCUGGAGCACGUCCUGGAGCCUUUAGAGGAGACGGCUGCUGCUGUUCCAGUCUCUCCUUAGGCAGACUUGAGUUUCUACCCACUCUUCCCAAGCAGCCGCCCCUCCGCACCCGAGCGAGCCAAAGACCUGGCGGGCUGAGUACUCACUGCGCGCUGGACACAUGCUGAGCCGGCACUGCAGGGACACAGGGCGAGCCGCUGGAUGCAGACCUGUGGCCGCGGCAGUUGGGCUUAUCUUGCCCAUGAAGUUGCCUCUGAAGAACCAAGUCCAACUGUGUAUGCUGAGAGAUGUCUGGCUACUUCCUGAUUGACAGUUCUGGCAAGGUGGCAUUGGGCCCUGGCUUUUCCUCUGGAGGCAUCAUCACUUAUAGGAAAAUGUCCCCUGAAGUCCAAGGAUCAAAGCUGCUGGAACACUGAGAAGCUGAACAAAGGAGAACUGUUUCUCAUCAAACCCAGACUUCCAGACUUCCAAUAGGGUAGAAUGAGCAAGUCAGCAAAUCAUCUUCCUUGGAAACAGUGAUAAAACUAGAUGACAUUGUCAACAACAGCCAUUUCAGAAAUCUAGAAAAUGACCAAAGGCAAACAACAAACUGAGAAGCAUUUUUUUUUCCAUGAAAAAUCGCUCUAUUUCUGCAAAAAUAGUGGGAGUCUAUGGCUUCUCAUCCAGGGCUGUUUCUCUCCCCACCCCAGCUCAGUCAGUACAAAGGUUCUGGCAGCAUGAGGCAGACUGAACAGACCUGAAGUUUGAUUGCUGGAAGAAACUGACUCCAGGUUUGGCAGAGGGUGAGAAACCUACUCCCAGCCAUGUUGUCUGGUGACACAGUGACCUUAGGGACAAGUGAAUAGGGAAGGCCAGUGAUUCAUUAACCUGAGGUUGCAGUCCUGGUUGGGGAAAGCAUCAGAAUGGCAGAUAAGCUAGAAAUUUAGUAGGGAUAUGCUGGAAAUGAGACAACCCCAAAGGGGCUUGACCCCAAAGUUGUCCACACACCCCAGCUGCCUUCUGAGCAGAUGUAGGGAGAGACCAGAGAAGGCCUAGGCUAUCCACACAUCUCUGGCUAACCCAGGCUGUAAACCUGUGGAGGAGACACAAGAGGUGGAUUGAUUGCUAAUGGGCAUAUGGGGGAUCUUACUGGUUGAUAGGAACAUUCUCAAAUUGGAUUGUGGUGAUGCUUGCACAACUCUAAGUUUAUCCCAAAUUGCUAAAUUUUACACUAAAAAGGGGUGAACUUUAGGGUAUAUAAAUUAUACAUCAAUAAAGUUGUCAUAAAGCAUUCACAUUCUAAUAAAUGGCUCUAAGAAAUAUUGUUUUGAAAAUUUUCCUUUGGUAUAUUAUGGCACUCCAAAAUCAACUUCUGUCAGAACAAUAAUUAACUAUUUCUGAUUAUAGAUAUUGGUCAUCUACAAUGAUUUAUUCAGUCUUUUAUGUCCCGCAUAAGGGCUUAGAAUGCUUUAAAUUUCUAAGACCAUCAAUAGCCAG
rnacentral:lncRNA from 1 species